rnacentral:rRNA from 1 species
GACGAACGCUGGCGGCGUGCUUAACACAUGCAAGUCGAACGGAAAGGCCCUGCUUUUGUGGUGUGCUCGAGUGGCGAACGGGUGAGUAACACGUGAGUAACCUGCCCUUGACUUUGGGAUAACUUCAGGAAACUGGGGCUAAUACCGGAUAGGAGCUCCCGCUGCAUGGUGGGGGUUGGAAAGUUUCGGCGGUUGGGGCUGGACUCGCGGCUUAUCAGCUUGUUGGUGGGGGAGUGGCUUACCAAGGCUUUGACGGGUAGCCGGCAUGAGAGGGUGACCGGCGACAUUGGGACUGAGAGACGGACCAGAGUCCUACGGGAGGCAGCAGUGGGGAAUAUGACACAAUGGGCGGAAGCCUGAUGCAGCAACGCCGCGUGCGGGAUGACGGCCUGCGGGUUGUAAACCGCUUUCGCCUGUGACGAAGCGUGAGUGACGGUAAUGGGUAAAGAAGCACCGGCUAACUACGUG